GACAGAGGCCUCGAGCGUUAGGCGGAAUCACUGGGCUUAAAGCGUGUGUAGGCGGUCCCGUAAGUGUCUUGUGAAAUCCCACGGCUCAACCGUGGAACUGCUGGGCAUACUGCGGGUCUUGGGCCAACUAGGGGCAGCCGGAACAAGCGGUGGAGCGGUGAAAUGCGUAGAUAUCGCUUGGAACGCCGAAGGUGAAAACAGGCUGCUGGGGUUGCGCCGACGCUGAGACACGAAAGCCAGGGGAGCAAACGGG
rnacentral:rRNA from 1 species